GUGGUACGAGUCGGUGCCUUCCGGGAUAGUCCGUGGGUCCCGGCAGAGUCUCGGUGCGAUUACGGGAUUUCCGGCGUAUUACGACGAUCGGUUUGGGAAACCGAUUCUUGUGGGUUUAUUUAUGGGGUUAUACUUUUAGGGUUUCUUAGUUGUGGGUUAGACACUAACCCAGUGGACCCUCCUUAGGUCCGGUUGACGUUCUUUUGCAGUCAGGAGACAGGCGCGACAGUUGUACAGGUGGGUACUUCGAUCCGACGUUGGUACAGUGGUGCACGCUCGGUGAUGGUUUCUUACCCUUGCUCUUUUGUUAUUAUCCAUGCUUAUAUUAUAUGUUGAGCUUUGCACCUCUAUUAUUUACAUUACACCCACGUUGUUUGAUUAUACUCUACUCAGAUGUUUCCAUGCUUAGUAUCAUGUGUAGGAGUAUAGUCUAUCUGUAUGUGAUACCAUGUUUCCUUGUUGCUCUACUUAGCUAUUCUGCAUACCCUGAUUCAUGUUUAUAGUAGAGCGAUUUCGUGAUUAUCUAUGAGAUCAGCGAUCUAGUCGGUCGAUUCUAGUAUUCGGUAUUUGUGACCUAUUCGGUGAGUUCCUCGACCUUUGUUGUCUGAUGACAGUUGAGGUCGGUAUACCGUGAAGGGUGGAAUUGUCGGUUAGUUGCCGACGGAUGAUUAUACUUUACUCAUAUCCUAUACUUGUGACGUGAUUGGUCGAGUUUCAUAUCCUAUACUUGUGACAUGAUUGGUCGAGUUUCAUAUCCUGUACUUGUGACGUGAUUGGUCGAGUUUCAUAUCCUAGUUGAUCUGAGUGGUCAGUCCUUGUGGUUCAUUGAGCAGUAUUUGCAUAUGUUUGAGAGGAUGUCGAUGUUGUCCUAUCCUAGUUGACCUGAGUGGUCGGUUCUUGUGCUUCUUUACAGUUGACGACCUAUGCGGUCGAUGGGCCCUGGGGGCCAGGAUUGUCGGCUGGUUGCCGACGGUUGAUUAUUGAGCAUAUUGCAUUGAUCGCCCGAUACUCGUCGCAUUUCACGAACACUGGCGGUGUGAUCCACCGCAAGGAGUGUUCUUUUCCGGAAAAGUGGUUGAAUGGUGACAACCCGUGAGCCCUAGAGGGGUUAUAUGCACUGGAGAGUAGUAGUGGCACUGGCUUGAGGUCUGCGGUGCUGACCAAGAGAGCAUUGGUUUCAGAUUGGGUACUUUUGGACUUCUUGACCGGUUAACGCAUAUGUAUAUAGUAGCAGUCGUUGCAUGCAUACUUACAGUUCUUACUUUAUAGUUGUCUUGCUGCUAUAGUAGAUAUUCAUGUAUGCUUUCGGUUCCGGUUACAGUAGCGGUAGCCGUUAUUCAGUCUAGUUCUUACUUUCUGUCAGUUUAUUGCUACUGUAUUUAGUAUAUCUGCUCAUUACCUUAUACAUUUCUUUCGUUUACUAUUGUUCCUACUGUAUUUUCACUGACCCGUGUUGUUGUAUAGCUCUUCCUGAUCCGGUGAGUACUCCUCGCCUUCUUCGGCUUGCGGUACCCACUGGGAGGGGAGACAUGUUUACAUGUUCUCACAUCCCUCACCAUUUUUUAGGUAUCGCAGGCGAUGUGUAUUGGGACGAGAUGCGAGAUACGUACGUAGCGGUCGAUAGAUCUUCCGACCCAGGUUGUUCGGUUUAGUUUCUACCCUUACUAUUCUGUUGACAUAGUUUAGAUAGUUUACCUGGUUCAAUAUUUUUAUUACAUUUGAAUAUAUGAAUUUUCAUGAAUGUAAUAAAAGGAUUUUUGAAUUUUGUAAAAUAAAAGGUUUUCUACCCCUCGUGGUAGCGUUUUAUAAAAAUAAAGUUCCUGUGUAGGGAACAGUUUUCAAAAGGUUUUCUGUGGAUUUUGUAUCUUAGUAUUUCAAAACCUGUUUAUGUGGUUGAAAAUAUUUUAACUGAUAGAUGUGGAUUUAUAUCUAAAUAUCGAUUGUAUUAAUGUGAACCUGUGGUGAAUGGUGUAUGAAUGUAUAUCUGUUGGUCAUUUGUAUGAUCAUUUGGUUGUGGUUGUAUAAUAUUUGAACUCUUGUACUUGUGCGACGCCGUACAAAUACAGGGGAGACUCUGUCCGUGUGAACAGUGGAUUUUCUGUAUUUGUGGCAGAUCUGGCAUACUCAGGGGUCAGGUUUUCAAAAAAAAAAAAAUUCAGACGCUUUUCCGCUAUCUUUUAAACUGAAAGGGACCCUGGGGCGUGACAAAAGUAGAAGUAGGGAAGGUAGAGACACAAGAGGAGUUGUGUAUUAUAGUCCAAUUUUUCUAAGUAAUGGAGUGCUUAGUUUUUUGGAAAUCUCUGCCUUUAUCUUUUCUCUCAUUUUUGCAUACUUAUUCAUAGGGCGUGGAGGU
rnacentral:lncRNA from 1 species